rnacentral:rRNA from 1 species
AGAGAGAGACAUGCGCGCAUAUCAAUAAGCGGAGGAAAAGAAACUAACAAGGAUUCCCCUAGUAACGGCGAGUGAAGCGGGAAGAGCUCAAAUUUCGAAAUCUUAAAGGGUUUCCCUUUACGAAUUGUAGUUUAAAGAAGUGUUUUCUGUUGAGGUUUUGGUAAAAGUUCUUUGGAAUAGGACAUCAUAGAGGGUGAGAAUCCCGUAUUUGACCAUUACUUUCCAGCUUUGUGAUACACUUUCAAAGAGUCGGAUUGUUUGGGAAUGCAGUCCAAAAUGGGUGGUAAAUUUCAUCUAAAGCUAAAUAUUGGCGAGAGACCGAUAGCGAACAAGUACCGUGAGGGAAAGAUGAAAAGAACUCUUGAAAAGAGAGUUAAACAGUACGUGAAAUUGUCAAAAGGGAAGCGUUUGGACACCAGUGUUGUUUUCUCGAAAAUCAAUUAAAAAAGGCAGGAUUUUGUGUUGUAUUGACUUUAUCAGCUUUCUGCACUCUUUUCUUGUCUUGUUAAUGCACUUUUCGUUUAACAAGUCAACAUCAAUUUCUUUUGUUGUAAAAGGGUCAUUGGAAGGUGGCUUUCUUUUCGGAGAAAGUGUUUAUAGCCUUUGGCCUCUGCAAUCGGAGAGAUUGAGGUCUGCAGCGUAGAUCCUUCGGGGUUAGAUACAUUUGUGCUAAGUUAUAGCCUUUCAUAGACAACUUGUUGACUAUGAUCAGUCCAUGUAGCUUACUCGCUUAUGCUAUUUUACCUACGCUUAGGAUGUUGAUGUGAUACUGCGAGCA